rnacentral:lncRNA from 1 species
UACCGACAAUGAAAUCUUGGCCCAAUGCGUAUUACUUUUCUUGGCUGGUUACGAAACUACCGCUUCUACUCUUACCUUCUUUACACAUUUGAUGGCAUUAAACCCUGAACACCAAGAAAAAUUGCACCAAGAGAUUGAAGAUGUUUUGGGAGAGGAUCUUGCUACUUAUGACAGUGUUCAGAAAUUACCUUACCUCAACAUGUGCAUGGAUGAGACACUGAGAUUGUAUCCCAUUGC